CAAUAGCGUAUAUUAAAGUUGUUGCAGUUAAAAAGCUCGUAGUUGGAUUUCUGGUGGGAGCGAUCGGUCUGGCGCUUAGCGCGAGUACUUGCAUCGUCUCCGCCCAUCCUUGGGGAGAGUCUGUCUGGCAUUAAGUUGUCGGGCAGAGGAUCCUCAUCGUUUACUGUGAAAAAAUUAGAGUGUUCAAAGCAGGCUUAUGCCGUUGAAUAUAUUAGCAUGGAAUAAUAAGAUAGGACUUUGGUACUAUUUUGUUGGUUUGCGCACCAAAGUAAUGAUUAAUAGGGACAGUUGGGGGUAUUCGUAUUCCGUUGUCAGAGGUGAAAUUCUUGGAUUUACGGAAGACGAACUACUGCGAAAGCAUUUACCAAGGAUGUUUUCAUUAA
rnacentral:rRNA from 1 species